GAUCCUGGCUCAGGAUGAACGCUAGCUACAGGCUUAACACAUGCAAGUCGAGGGGCAGCAUGAACUUAGCUUGCUAAGUUUGAUGGCGACCGGCGCACGGGUGAGUAACACUUAUCCAACCUGCCGAUGACUCGGGGAUAGCCUUUCGAAAGAAAGAUUAAUACCCGAUGGCAUAGUUCUUCCGCAUGGUAGAACUAUUAAAUAAUUUCGGUUAUCGAUGGGGAUGCGUUCCAUUAGGUUGUUGGG
rnacentral:rRNA from 1 species